rnacentral:lncRNA from 1 species
AUUAAAGUCUAUCCUGAAAGUGGCUACAUCAACACUAUGAAUAAAGCAGAGUGCUGAAGCACUUGUAGAAGCAAGUGCAGGCCUUAAAGAAAGAGGAAUGUCAUCCUAAUCCACCUAAAGAAAAAGAAAAACAGCCAGUCCCAUUAUUUCCGUUCUUCCAAUCUGCAGAUAUUAAUGCUACAGAAUGCCUCCUUCAUCAUUUCACUACGGAGCCAAGUAAUAAAGUUUCA